AUUAAAGCGUUGAGUGGAAUCGAUAAGCGGUCAUGGUUCACAGCGAGUUCGGGUUGAUGGGAACCGAAUAGCCAUCCGUUUAUCACACAUCCAUGAGUGGACGAUUGAACAACAGUAGGUCGUCUCGGUUGGGCUCGUUAUCGCCGUGGUUGAAGCAACUACAUGAGGUUGAUUGUGUGAGCAAUUGACAAAUCUGAGGUGGAACCGCGGUUUAAGCCGUCCUCUUA
rnacentral:ncRNA from 1 species